rnacentral:tRNA from 1 species
UCCCAGGCGGUCCAGUGGUUAGGACUCCGUGCUUUUACUUUGGUGGCCCAGGUUCAAUCUCUGGUCUGGGAA